CAGACAAGUCCUUGAAAUUUUCACAUUGCUCGUCUUCAUACUGAUUUUUGACAUCUCCAUCAGGAGGCUCACUUUUAUAAACAUGAAUCUCUUCUUCUGACUUCCGUAAAAUUUGUGAAGAAACCUUCAAAUCAUCACCAACUUUGUUGCUUGUGUUGGUAACAGAUUUCUCCCCAUGUGGUGGAGCAGUAACUACUUCUCUAGUCAAAGAG
rnacentral:misc_RNA from 1 species